CUACGGGUUGCUGCAGUGAGGAAUAUUGCACAAUGGGGGGAACCCUGAUGCAGCAACGCCGCGUGGAGGAUGACGCAUUUCGGUGUGUAAACUCCUUUUAUAUGUCAAGAAAAUGACGGUAGCAUAUGAAUAAGCACCGGCUAACUCCGUGCCAGCAGCCGCGGUAAUACGGAGGGUGCAAGCGUUACUCGGAAUCACUGGGCGUAAAGGAAGCGUAGGCGGGUUGGAAAGUCAGGUGUGAAAUCCUACAGCUUAACUGUAGAACUGCACUUGAAACUUCUAAUCUAGAGUAUGGGAGGGAGAGAUGGAAUUAGUGGUGUAGGGGUAAAAUCCGUAGAUAUCACUAGGAAUACCUAAAGCGAAGGCGAUCUCCUGGAACAUUACUGACGCUAAGGCGUGAAAGCGUGGGGAGCAAACAGGAUUAGAUACCCGAGUAGUC
rnacentral:rRNA from 1 species